UAAAGGAAUAUUAUAAUUCAUCAAAAUUUAUCCCUACAGGAAUCUGGACACCCCAAAAAAUGAGCUAGUGAAAGAAAUUAUGAAACUUGCACAAAUAUUUUCUUUUUUUUUAAAGAGGCAGGCAUCCAUUUGGAUACAGCCUGGGGUGAGAGCAAAGGAUUCUUGCCAGGCCCUCUGUAAGACUUUCCCUCCCGGCAUGGGGAGCAGUGGAUGGAGGGUCGGGACACAUUACUGCACCCAUAUCAACCAGGUCUGCGAUGCUGAGCAAGUCCCUUCACUGCUCCAGGACUCCGGGCAGUAGAGUGUAACGGUUAAGAUGUGGCUCUGGAGCCCAGUGGCCUGGAUUUAAUAUUAGCUCCAGCUCCUGCUGAUCUUGGGAAAGUCACUUCAACUUUCAGCUCCUUCGUCUCUGGUGAUAUGCAUCCUCCUGUGUCACACAGCCCCACCAGCUUGUUGUGACCGAAACACGUAAACUCAGCAUCCAGCACAUAACACUCCGUAGCGGCUGAACACCAAGACGGCACUCCACUGGGAUGACCUUUGAUUCUUGGCAGAGGACAGCAAUUUCACUGAGGGAAUUCGCCCUGGUUGAUGAGUCUCUAGUGUUUGUCGAGAUCUCUGUGGAAACAAACAUUCAGAGGGUCUUUGUGGAACAGUCCAGAAAUAAUUGAGUAAUCCAGGAGACCCCUACUCGACCCCCCACAAAAAAUGUCAGGUUACACUUUCUUUUAAGGACUCCCUAAUUGAUGCCCUUGUAUAAAUAAUUGCUAUUUCCCAGCACUUUCACUUUUCCCUUUUACUGAGAAAAAAAUACAAAAGAAAAGUCAACCGAAUCAAGACAUAAAUUCAUUUUUACAGCUGAAUAAGCUUUGUCUUUGGUGGUUUUAAAAAUGAAAUAAAUGGGAAAAUAUUUGUUAGAGAAUAAUAAACACACCCAGGUAUUUGCAGCUCUUCUCAGGCAGGGCUAAGAUUGAAGUGGCUUGGUAAGACCACCUGUGUUUCUUGGUGCAAGCCCAGCAGAGCUUCAGAAUUUGUAUAGUUGGUUUCAGUCCAGCGACCUGGCUACAUUCUUGGAUCUCUUACUCAACAUGAGGCAUCAAGAUCACUGGAAACUUGAACAAAAACAUCAACAACUGGAAGAGCCAGUUAGCCUAUGGUUUGACCCCCAGCCUGCACACCCUUACAUCAAUCUACUUCUAAUCUUCUGGGAAAUUAGUUCAGCCUUCAAGGCAGGAGAAGGGGCGACCUGAGGGUACAGCUGCUCAGUGUCCCGUAGGAGAUGAAGAAUCUACAGUCACCCGAAAGCACACAGUUAGAUGGUUGCUUUUUACUCUGCUUUCCCCUUGGCAGAAAGGACGCCUCCAUAAUAACUCUAAAAGCAUUAAAGAAAAAGCAGCACACUGUAGCAUUCCACAAUGGAAUCCAAUAAAAGAAACAUAACUCAAAAUCACUUCAGAAGCAAUUAAUAAAUUGGUACUCAGAAGCAGCUCCUCAAGGAAGUUUGCUCUUCAGCCCAAUAAUCUAAAACACAUCCUGAAAACAGUAGCUAAGGAGGAAGGAAAAGAUAACAAAUCUUAUUUUCCGCUUGUCCUUUGGUAUACUUCAAAAUAAUUUGGAUACUUUCUGAAGUAGCUAUUUUGGAAGUUUUUAUUCAAGUUCCCGAGGGCCUACUUAUUUUAACUACCUUUAUCUAAAGAAGAUGGUAAAAUGGCCGUAUCAACUUUAAUAGGACGAGUGAGCUGUAGACACAGUAUCACUACUGAGCCAGCCAGCCUAGGUUUCAGGACCCACCUUCACUCCCUACCUGUGUGACCCCAGACAGGUAAUUUAACCCCUUUCAACCUCAGCCUUCUGAUUUGAAAAUGAAAAGAUAGGAUAAGAUUCUGGUUUCCCACAGUGUGUUUCAUGAACAUAGGUAUUAUGUUAAAAAAAUAGUUUUCGUUUUAUUUAUGUUUCAGAAAUGUAGUGUUAAAGUUAAAUGGAGUUUUACAACAAGAUUGAUCACAUCUUUUAAUACACUAAUUACUAUCAUAAAUUGAGGGUUAUAAUAUGUAGCAAUAUCUAAACUUAUUUGACCACGGGACUCUUAUUCACGGAGCAUCACGGGAAUAGCAUAAUCUAAGGUUGCAUCCAGCUCUAAAGUUCCAUUUUUCAAUCUGAAGUAGCUAAUUGCAAAUUGGCACAUAUACAGAGGUCAUCAUCACAGUAAUUAUUAAUCAUCUUCGAAUGAUGUGCUUACAGGUGGAUGUGUGGGAAAAUGGAACAGAACAGGCAUAUAUCAAAUCCUACCUAGUGGGAGGAUUUCCUUAUUCUCCACCUAUUCUCCUCACCCUUGGGGGACUGAUCUCCCAUGCAUACAAGGCCUUGGGUCAGAGAGAGAAGGUCCCAGACUCAUCACCAUGCAAACUGGUAUUACUCAUUACUGGUAUUACUCAUUGCACCCUGUUACGCUCUUUGUCUUCCUUAUGGGUAAUAUAAGGUCUAAUUGACAAGCUCUGUUUCUCUACUCAGCAAUGUAUCCACCACACAUGUCAUUUCUUUCCAGAAAACAAAUUUUAUUUUUAAAUAUUUUAAAGC